ACACAACAGAACAGAUCAAUGAAACCAGAAGCUGGUUCUUUGAAAAAAUUAGUAACAUUAAUAAACCUCUAGACAGACUUUUAAAAGUUGAAAAGACAAAGGAC